rnacentral:lncRNA from 1 species
CCUAUGGCCACACUUGCGGCAUAUAGAAGUUCCUGGGCUAGAGGUCAAAUCAGAGUGGCAGCUGCCGGCCUAGGCCACAGCAACAUGGGAUCUGAGCCACGUCUACGACCUCUCCUGCAGCUUGCAGCAAUGCCAGAUCCUUAACCCACUGACCGAGGCAGCGAAUGAACCCACAUCCCCGGGCACACUAUGUCGGGUUCUUAACCCACUGAGCCACAACAGGAACUCCCAUUAAACUUAACCUAAAGUCUUUCUCUCAACUCUACAUCCUUCCAUUAUUCUGGGUGACUUCAACAUUCACGCAGAACUCUGGCCUUCUCAGUUUCAGUGAGUAACUCCUCCCCGCUUCAGUCGCCUACUUCCACAGUUACUGCCACCACCUUGUCAUCCUAACUGCUCUGGAAUCCUUUACUCAAGCACCUCGUACCCACCUUCUCCUUUAGUUCUUAUUCACUCGAUGAAAGCACUCCCACCAUGAAGGGUCUUUGGCCUGGUAAGAAACAUCCAAUGCCCUAGCUUCUCAUUUCUUCCCACUUAUUAAUGCUUUCUUCCUUCACCGUCCUCCUUAUCCAGCUUCAAUUCCAUGACAUUAGGAAACACUCGCUACCCUAAAACUCCCUUCCCAUUCGGUUUCCUUGCAUCACCUCCACUGGCAAAACUGCCAUCGUGUGUGAAACUACCUACUUUCUCCAUCACUAUAAUGAAACAAGUGUGUGUGGGAGGGGAGGCCACACUACCAAAUGCGAUCACCAUGUGCAAGUGCAUCAUGAACACAGCCCAGUGGUCCUACCCUUUCACUCUAAUCUAUACAAAGCAAAUACUAGAAACCUUCUCAAUUCUAUCCAGGCCUUUGGCUCUCUAUUCUUAGUUUUGCCAAAGAUUCUACCUUCUACUUUCCUGAGAAACACCCUAAGACAUCAUUUUCCAAUGGGAAGCUGAGGAGAUUCAUGCCUAUAGCUUCUGCUUUGCACCAUUUUCUCUUUCUCUCUUUUUAUGACAUUGGGUGGUUGUUAAAGCUAUGAACAUGGAGUAAGUUGUUUACAAUGAGAAUACAGAGACAGGAAGAGAGCCUGAAAUCGAUCUUUGAAGAAUUCUAAAAUCUGAUAGCUGAGUAUGGGAGAAUGAAGCUUCAGAUCAAACCACAAAUUUUGCACUAAAAUCAAGUCAGCUACAAAUUCCAGCUACACUUUGUAUGCGUAUAUAUAUUCACAAACACACACACAUAUAUUUAUAUAAGAAACCGGACUUGAAAGCCAGUAUAACUCUAGGGUUUUCCAACAAUAUUAAACAUUAGUCCUUUGAUAGAUGAAAUUUAGCAAUGUUAUUAUUACUGAGGUCCAGAGAAAUAUUUUCCCUUGUGGAAAUGAAAUAAUCUACUUGAAGGAAUUUUACUAGCCAAGGGAGGGGGAAGAAACAUGAAAUUAUUACCCUUUGUAGACAUAAAACUUUCUAGUUGGAACAAAGAUAGCUCUUGCUCAUCAAGAGCAUAUGUAGAUUUAAGAUCUUUAACUAUAAACAGUAGGCUUCAGGCCUGGGUGGUCUGUGUUAUGUCCAAUAAUAUAUAAAUUGGCUUGUCCUCAAAAUAAAUAUUUCCCUUUUCAUUACUCUGAGUCAUGUAAAAGAUUCCAUCUUUGUUCAAAACCAGGAAAACUUUUCAAUAAAACCUUUUAGCUAUAAGUCUAUAUGUUCAAUAGACAGUUCAGGAUACGACCUCUCAUUAAAUGCAUAUAAAGACAUCUUAAAUGAUUUUCUCAGUAUCUCAAGAAACACUCUGAGUGAACUGGGAAAAUACUUAAUGAGAAAUAAAUCCUCUUUAUGCAUAAAAUGAUUACUGACAUUUUUUGCAAGUGUUUAAUAAAAAGCUAUGACCUAGGGGAUUAAAUGAACUAUGAAACAUCCUAUGUUGCUGGUUUUAUCUCAAAGCUAAUUUAUUACUGACUAUCUGGCACAUUAUACACAUUACUUAAAGUUUUAGAGUUGAACAUGACUUUCAUUUUCUUUAAAUAUCGUAUCAAAAUAAUAUUUGAUUAGGUUAAAUGUGACUAAAAGAAUAUACAAAUAUUUUAUAAAUGGUGCAUACCCAUCAUUUUCAAGAAGUCUUCAGAUCCAUAUCAAAAUUUGAUGUAAGUAUAAGGAAAAAUAGCAUCGAAAUGAAAGGAAACAGAUUUUCUCUUUUGGGAAGAAGAGGAGAAAGGAGAACACUGAGGAGUAAUAUAUUCCAUUUAAGUAUAAUAUGGCAAAAUGGCUCCAUAAAACCAUCCAAAAAAUUGUUUCUCUCUUUUAGGAUGAAAUAGUAUCAUAUUCUUCAUGCAUGGUAGGAACUUGGUCUGACUCAGGGUUUGUUUCCAUACCUGCUUACUGAGUUGGCAUGAAAAUACUCUAAAGUCAUAACAAAGACGUAACAACAGAAUAUCGAGAUUCCA